CUAUCUGCUAUACUGUAGGGGGACCUCAAUGACCACAAAUACUCAGUUACACUUUGAUUCACCAUGUGGGUUUUGAUAGAGCAGCUAAGAGGAUCAGAGAAGGUCACACUCUGCAGAGACACUCCCACCUGCAGUUCUUCAUAUCUCUGUAACCACACCGACAGACGUACGGUAUAUGACACACUCAGUUUUAGAACAUGGACAUUAUCAAACAUGGACGCCUCAGCUUUUUAAUAUCACUGUUCUGCAUACAAGGUCUAACUGAUGGGAGUGAUGUCACCCAGACGCCGGACAUACUGUGGGGGAAAAAGGGCGACAGUUCAACAAUGAACUGCAGCCACACCAAGGGUGCUUUCUACAACCAGAUGUACUGGUACAGACAGCUGCCAGGGGAAACAAUGAAACUAAUCGUUUUCACAAGAUCCGGCUUCGAUGAUCAUGAUUUUGGAGAUUUCAGCAAAGAGAAAUUCUCAGCCACCAAGACUCAUGCUGAGAAUGGGACAUUCACAGUGAACAAUCUGGAGCCAGAAGAUAAAGGCUUGUAUUUCUGUGCUGUGAGUGAACACAGUGAUACAGACACAUUCAACAGCUGAACAA